rnacentral:rRNA from 1 species
GAUGAACGCUGGCGGCGUGCCUAAUACAUGCAAGUCGAGCGAACGGACGAGAAGCUUGCUUCUCUGAUGUUAGCGGCGGACGGGUGAGUAACACGUGGAUAACCUACCUAUAAGACUGGGAUAACUUCGGGACACCGGAGCUAAUACCGGAUAAUAUUUUGAACCGCAUGGUUCAAAAGUGAAAGACGGUCUUGCUGUCACUUAUAGAUGGAUCCGCGCUGCAUUAGCUAGUUGGUAAGGUAACGGCUUACCAAGGCAACGAUGCAUAGCCGACCUGAGAGAGUGAUCGGCCACACUGGAGGGGGGACACGGACCAGACUCCUACGAGAGGCAGCAGUAGGCAAUCUGACGCAAUGGGCGAGAGCCUUACAGAGCAACGGCGCGUGAGUGAUGAAGGCCUUCGGAUCGUAAAACUCGGUUAUUAGGGAAGAACAGAUGUGUAAGUAGCUGUGCACAUCUUGACGGUACCUAAUCAGAAAGCCACGGCUAACUACGUG